rnacentral:rRNA from 1 species
UACGUAGGGGGCAAGCGUUGUCCGGAAUUACUGGGCGUAAAGCGUGCGUAGGCGGUUCGCUGUGUCCGAUGUGAAAGCCCCGGGCUUAACCUGGGAAUGGCAUUGGAAACUGGCGGGCUUGAGUGUGGCAGAGGGGGGUGGAAUUCCGCGUGUAGCAGUGAAAUGCGUAGAGAUGCGGAGGAACACCGAUGGCGAAGGCAGCCCCCUGGGUUAACACUGACGCUCAGGCACGAAAGCGUGGGGAGCAAACAGG